GACGGAGGGCGCAAGCGUUGUUCGGAAUUACUGGGCGUAAAGCGCACGUAGGUGGUUUGUUAAGUCAGCUGUGAAAUCCCCGGGCUCAACCUGGGCACUGCAGUUGAAACUGGCAAGCUAGAGUAGGGUAGAGGGGUGUGGAAUUCCAGGUGUAGCGGUGAAAUGCGUAGAUAUCUGGAGGAACAUCAGUGGCGAAGGCGACACCCUGGACUCAUACUGACACUGAGGUGCGAAAGCGUGGGGAGCAAACAGG
rnacentral:rRNA from 1 species